GGUCACUAUAAGCAAAGAUGGCAGAAACUAUGUUAAAUAUAAACCAGUGAUAAAAAAUAAAGGCCCUUUUUGAGCCAUCCUUGACAAUAAUGUCCAUUAACAUUAAAAGUAUUUUACCCAACAAAGAAGAGAUAUUGAUAGAACUAUGGAGAGAUCAUUCCUGUUACGUGAUAUGCCUAUAAGAAAAUAAAAUGGCUUUAAGUCAGAAGUAGCUUUAAGUUCUCUAGAGUAUGGUAGAGUAGUUUUUGUGAAACCCAAUAUACAAAUGACUUUUUCAGAAUUAACAGAAACUAAUGAUAUAAAAGUAUAAACGGUAAACCUGGGAAAAUACUCAGUAACCUUUGUGUAUAAACUCCCAAAUUCUACCUUUGCAUCUAACCAGCCAAAGAACUUUAAUAACCACAAAACAAAAAUAAUGUUGGGAAUUCCAACUGUCAUAGUCAAAAUUGGGGAUACAACAAGACAGAUAACCAUGACCAUGAAUUAGUAGACCUGAUAAAGAAAAAUAAAAUUACUC